AGUAAAGUAGUUUAAUUAAAAACAUUCAUUUUGCAAAAAUGAGGAUAUAUAAAAAAUUUUUACUU
rnacentral:tRNA from 1 species